ensembl:miRNA Mir330 microRNA 330
GACCCUUUGGCGAUCUCUGCCUCUCUGGGCCUGUGUCUUAGGCUCUUCAGGCUCUAACGAGCAAAGCACAGGGCCUGCAGAGAGGUAGCGCUCCGCUC